rnacentral:rRNA from 1 species
UACAGAGGGUGCGAGCGUUGUUCGGAAUUACUGGGCGUAAAGCGCGCGCAGGCGGCUUUCUAAGUCCGUCGGUGAAAGACCGGGGCUCAACCCCGCGUCAGCCAUGGAUACUGGGAGGCUGGAGACAGGUAGAGGCAAGCGGAAUUCCGGGUGUAGCGGUGGAAUGCGUAGAGAUCCGGAAGAACACCGGUGGCGAAGGCGGCCUGCUGGGCAGUAUAGCUGACACUGAGGCGCGACAGCGUGGGGAGCAAACAGG